rnacentral:lncRNA from 1 species
AAAUAAAUAUAGAUUAUAGGCUAUUUUUACCUGACAGACAGCUGCUGCUGCUGCUGAUGCACUUGUAUCUGUUCAGAUGAAGUAUCAUGCUUAAAGCUAGGGUCUGUAAUGUUGUUCAGAAACACAUUUUGUUAUACUGGGUGAAAUGAUCCUGCUAUCCUGAGAGUAGUCAAUACAUUAUGUAUUCAGAAAAAGGAAAUAAUCGGACCUCUGUGGCAGCUGCAGGACUGAGAAAAAUCUGACCAAUCCGUGCCAUCGGCCGGAUAGCAAGGAUUGGUCAGAUGCACGGAUUGAUCAGAAGCCGAAUGUCUCGUCCUCUGUCCCUCCCUCCUCCGAGCGUGCACACGUUACAUUUCACUGAUGCCAGAAAUAUUCAGCACACUCCUCUGCAGAAAUACGGAGUUACAGGAGAAGACGUUCAUUUGGUUACAAUGGCAGAGAAAAUGCAGCCAGCGUUACUUGUAACCGCUCACCUCGCUAAAAAGGCAAGGAAAAGAAAGCCUGAGGCAGAAAAGGCUGCCACGAAAAAGGCUCUGGAUAAAGAAAGAAGUGGUAUGGAGUCAACAUCGGUGCAGCGUUUGAGCAGUGGAGACAACUGGGGCAUGUGAAGGGCUUGAGAAGUGAUGCAGAGGUUGCUCUCUUUCUGUUGGACAGUUUCAAGACCAUGCCUCAGAUGAAGAGUUGGGUUUCUCCUCAGCCCAGAGAAUGAAGUUGACGGAUGAUAAUACUGGUCAUGGCAUGGCACCUGGAAUGAAUGAAAUCAUGUCGUCCCUUCACGACCUGCCAGAAAUGAUUAAAUUAAUGAGGGAGUGUGUGGAGUGUGUCCGGGCAUUGAUGUCCUCGUUUAGGGGGACCCCUUCAUCUGCAGUGUCAUCAUCUUCUGUGGACAGUGAAAUUGAAAUGCACCCCUUGGCAGGCAGCACAGUGACAGUUUCAAAGAGGGCCUUCCUGCGGCUGAAUAGAUCUCGCAUGACCAUUUUUGCCCAGGAGCUGGCUGUCCUGGUAUUCACAAAGGAGGGCCUUGCACAGUCCACCCUAACUGGAAAGUCUGGGAGGGGGGGACCGCCAAAAACACAGUUUGAUGUUGACAAAGUGCAGGCUAUUACAGACGCUGUUCUUCUGGAGUUUCCACAGACAAGUGUCUCUGAUGUGGGCGCGGCCAUCAGACGAAAGUGUAACAAUGAGCAGUUCAGACAAAAAAAAGGAACUUAA